CCUUAUAGGGUCGGGCACCAUGAGUAGUUAGUGAAAGACCUGUGUGAGCUCCUUUGGGGGCCGGGCACCGACAGAGGGAGUUUUGGGGUCAUGUCCAAUCUGAGAUGUGAAAUGUUUGUGCAGUGAUGCAUUUCAUUAUAGCAUAUUUUAAAUGUUUUUAUGGUUUCCGCUCACUGGGCUUUAGCAGCUCAUCCCUCUCCCUAACCCCAUUUUUUCAGGGCCUCAGAGAAGAGAAAGAGAAAGAGAAAGCAAGGGUAAACGCAUAUGUACUAGUAUAGAAUAGUGGACAUGAUAAUAAUGUACAGUACAGAGUUUAUGUAAUGUAUAGAAAUGAUGUAAAAGCAAGUUAUAUAGAGUGUUAGAGUAUUGUGCUUGGCCCUAGUGCUUGUUAUCCUUUGUACAUGAUCCUUUUAUGUUAUAUAUGUUUGAGACAAUGUUGUGAUGAGAGCUAGGCUUGGUGCAUGGUAGUAUUUCUAUCUCUGUAGUUACUGUAUGGUACCAUAGCAGGUAUCACUCUUCGAGUGCAUACAGACAGAGCAUGCAUAGUCCAGGCUUAGUUGAUGAGAAAAGUUUCAAGAAAAGAAAAGAUAGUCAAGCAAAGAAAGAAAAAAAAA
rnacentral:lncRNA from 1 species